UGCCCCAUGGCUGAGUUGGUUACAGCGUCCGACUGUUAUUCAACUGGUCUUCUAGCUGUAAAAUCGGAAGGUCGUGAGUUCGAGCCUCACUGGGGCAG